GCUGGGGUGAUGAAACUGGAAGACAUUGGGGACUUAAAAUCCCCUGCUCGCAAGAGCGUGCGGGUUCGACUCCCGCCCCCAGCA
rfam:Parcubacteria (Giovannonibacteria) bacterium GW2011_GWA2_45_21 TX06_C0013, whole genome shotgun sequence.